rnacentral:rRNA from 1 species
GGUUUAAUUCGACGCAACGCGAAGAACCUUACCAAGCCUUGACAUGUCCGGACCGAUCCCUGAAAGGGGAUUUUCCCAGCAAUGGGCCGGAACACAGGUGCUGCAUGGCUGUCGUCAGCUCGUGUCGUGAGAUGUUGGGUUAAGUCCCGCAACGAGCGCAACCCUCGCCAUUAGUUGCCAUCAUUCAGUUGGGCACUCUAGUGGGACUGCCGGUGAUAAGCCGGA